UGAGAGUGUAGUGACCAUUCUAUCCAGUACGUUUGAGGUGCAGAGCUAUUCCCUAUGUAAAACCAGAUUUGCAAAAUAUUUGAGGCAAAAGAAAAUGUUAGAAACCAAAUCAAUCGGUAGACUGUGUUGCUAUUUUUAGAGCGGCAUAAACGCAAGAAAUUUUACUGUGGGCCUUAUGUGUGUGUGUGUUGAAUCCGGUAUUAUGGCAGGAUAAAAAUCGCAAUUGUCGGUAAUAGAACUCACAAGAGGAAAAGAGAGCUAGAACUUCCUUCUCUGGCUCGAAAGGUAACAGAUGUGACAUAACAGAUGCCAUUCACAAAGUGUUAAUGCAAAGUAAAACCCACUACCGUAAAGGCACAAGCUUUCAACCAAAAGAAACAAGUUGUCAUCAAAAUUCAGCAUAAAACACAACUAUCAAUAUGAAUCUGACAACAAAUAAGCUCUAGACUUUACAGAUAAGAGCCUGACAAAUAAGACCAGUCAGAAUUUGGAUUUCAUGUCCGUUUUAUGGGAACACGACAACGGCAACGGUGAAGGCAUAGGCGGACAGAAACACAACGAUGGAGGCAGAGAUGUAGACUUUUGCUAUCACGACAGUGGAGAGGAAGCCUUACUGGGACACAAAGAUGAAACCUUUCGACAUCUAAAUCAUUGAAAUUGCAGGCCCUUGAAGAAAGUUACGGUUCUUUAUUCUUCUUUUGAUGUUCAGGUGGUUGAAGAAUAAAAAUAUGUAUGUGAAAGGAGACAACAAAUCAUAACAUAUUUUGCUGCAAAAACCUGAAGUUAUUUGUUAUUUAGUUGACAUAUCUAUUUUAUAGGGAUACAUUUUGGAAUUUAUGAAAGAUCUACAGCA
rnacentral:lncRNA from 1 species